rnacentral:rRNA from 1 species
GAAAGCCUGAUGCAGCCACUGCCGCGUGUGUGAUGAAGGCCUUCGGGUCGUAAACCGCUUUUAUUAGGGAGGAAGGGCACGGUGCCUCUUCCUUGCUGUCCUUGACGACUCCGAGCCAAUAACCGCCGGCUUACUUCGUGCCAGCAGCCGCGGUAAUA